UACAGAGACUGCAAGCGUUAUUCGGAUUCACUGGGCGUAAAGGGUGCGCAGGCGGCCAACUAAGUCAUACGUGAAAUCCCUCGGCUUAACCGGGGAACUGCGUCUGAUACUGGAUGGCUUGAGAUUGGGAGAGGGAUGCGGAAUUCCAGGUGUAGCGGUGAAAUGCGUAGAUAUCUGGAGGAACACCGGUGGCGAAGGCGGCAUCCUGGACCAACACUGACGCUGAGGAGCGAAAGCCAGGGGAGCAAACGGG
rnacentral:rRNA from 1 species